UAUAAAAGGGCACAUUCAUCAUUAGUCACAUAGAAGUUGGAUAAACCCAACAACCUUCCAUCCAAAGUCAACAAAAUUGAAACACAUUUUUGAGAGUUGUUGGUGCCUCAUCCUAUAACUGACGACAACGUUAGGAAAUCCGAAGACGUCAUCGGGGGCCCCAGAAAGAGUUAUCUUUUAUUUUUAACAACUUCCCCACCCUAAAAUCGGCUCAACCAGAGAUAGGGUCCAAUAGUUGGAAGAACAUCGCACACCUUGCUGUGUCUGGUGCACCCUCAACGACCCUUCAAAAUUUGGAGGAUUGAGUAUUGUCCAUGCUCGGUCGUACUCAUAACUGCAUUAGGUCUCCAAGGUGAACAACCUCU
rnacentral:ncRNA from 1 species